GAAAACGUUCUCCAUUAAUCUUCAGGAGUGCUGCGAGAGCGAUUUUCUUCAGAAGUUGACGCGCAUCGGACACCUCUCUGUGUCUCGCUGGCUUGCGGACAUUAGUCGAAUUAAACCAACUCGGAUCCCCGCGGAGCUGCCUCGAAGAAGGAUGCUAAUAUCACAUAUCAGUUAGAUGACCAAGUUCAGGGCCUGCACUACUGCUGCAGCUCAGCGCUGGAGCUCGGAUCAAUGGAAUACUGCUUGGGGAUACAACGGGACCACACCCACACACUGAUUAGAGCCUCUGAUUGGAUAUCACAUGGAUGUCUUGACCACUACCAUGGCUCUCAUGCAAAUUGAUAAAGCCCCUGGGCGUCUUCAGCAUCAGAUGUCAUGCUGCCAGAGACAAAGUAAGUCAGACAAACACGUAGGCUGGACCUCUGAGGAGAACCUUGCCGCAUGCUCAAGUGCUGCAUCAAAUCUCUCUGGACAUUGAUGGAUGGACUGUGAACUCCUGACCCAAUGAAAUGUAACAAGAAGGGCCAUUGUAGCACCACAUGGAGUGUGUCAAAGGUCACCGUGUUGAGUUAACAACCUACCUUGGCAUUGUAGUACUGAAUACACCAUUAGCCUUCACACAGAGGUUUUUAUUCCCCUAUGUCAGAGUUGUGCACAUGCUUUAGCAAACACAUGUACACAACCACAAAAAAAAGUAUACACACAUAUAGCCAUAGCCAGUGUGUGAUGAAGACAGCCAGCCAUUGAUCCCCAGACAGGAAGUCGACUGUCCCCCAAAGCUGGAAGCUAAAGCAGAACUGCUGAUUGGCCCAAAGGAGAGAUCAGCAGAUGUUGCAUCUGGAAACAGUCUACGAGUAUUAGAACAAGCCUCCGCAUCAGGUCUUCCUCUCACUGUCUCAUCUUAACCUUUGCAUAACCUGUGCUUCGUGAUGAAGGCCAGAAUGCUUUGUUUUCCCGGGAGGAGGAGGAAAGGCCGCACUGACAUGGAGCUUUUGUAAUGGAGCUGAGUAUGGAUCAGUAGGAUUUUCUCGACACUGCCCUCAAGAAAGUUCAUAAUGUUCACCGCCAAGACAAGAGGGGUCUCCAUCAAAGGGGAGCGAGGCAGUGGAUGGACGGAGUAGUGUCCUGACUUUCAAGAGCGGCAUCAUCAAACCCUUCACUAUCCCCUCAGAUGUCUGCGAGGUGUCAGAGAAGAGGAGAGAGAUAGAGACAAGCCCUUUCCUACCUGACAAUGAUGCAUGUGUUCGUGAGAGGAGGAGGGACCAUAGAUCUGCUGCAGCUGACGUCGGGGAUGGGAGGAGAAAUCUGGAUUCCAUUGUUGUACUGUCAGCAGAGGUGUCCGAAUUUGAUAAAACGCCUCGUCACCUUUCUCCGGUUCAACUCCCACAGAUGGUAAAUGGCAGAAGCUGAGCAGCUGAGAUUACCACGACCUUGGACUUCCUAAGAUAAGUCUUUUUCAGAGUGAAAUGGGCAAGUUUUCGCCUGUUGAUUGUGUUCUGAUAAUCUUACCCCCAUCACAUCGAAAGGUUAAUGCCAGCUGCACUUACCGCUUCGGAUGACUAAUGUAACUGAUGUGUCACAGGAAGCUGUACAGUGUAGCACGCUGGGAAGACCCUUAUGUCACAAAGCUAAACAUAUCUCAUCUCACCAUUGUACUGUGAACAACUGACCUAGCGCAUGCCUCCUAUGAAUCACAUGGACACAUUAGUCGGGAAGAUAAAACAUAAUAAAUAAUCAGGCAGGGAAAAGUCACCAUUAGUGUCAGAGUGAAGAAUCACAAUUCGAUAUAAAGAUCGUUUAUUAAGUCUCUGAUCAUAUUUAUAUGGUUUUGACCAUCAUUCCUAUUGGUAAUAAUAAGAGGAUAGGGCAAGAGACAUGAGUGGUCAGAUCAUACAGGUUUUUAAACAAACUCAGGGUAAGCAACAAUUGUCAAGUUAUUAAGGUGCUUCAGCAUUGUCAACAUGCAUCUACACCAAAAAAGUGGAUCCUGUCUCAAACCUGAACCUUUAAUGAGGCAUUAUUUUACAUUUGUGGCAGAAAUUAAUUAAUUAAAAAAUUAAUUUCUGUUUCUUAAUGAUCAAAGAGACUUAGUGAUUUGUUCAUGACACACUCUUUCAAGGGCCUCUCCUCUCCCUCUUUUUUUUUUUUGUAUGAUGAGUGAGUAUAAACAGGUGAGGACACUGUAAGCUUAUAUCAAGAGGGCCCCACUCUUCCGAGGACUCAUCAAUAACUGUUUACACUAGUUUCACCAGGCUUUGUCCGCCAACAGCUGCCCGCCAAUAAAUGGAAACUGUGGAUGCACACACUUAAAAUUACAAGACUCUGCAAAACAUGCUUCACGCACACAGCCGCCUGUACCCAUAUGUUCACAGAUGUGGUGUGCACACACAGCAAAACAGUCAUGCUUUCUGAUUCUGUGAUAAACAACCAUCAGAAUAUGAGGAGGACUGAGAGGUUCCAACAUGACACAGCGAGGAAGCAUUUCUCCGAGCCCAGUGAUCCUGUAAUUAGGGCCACACAGAAGGUGAAAGGGAUUGCUGAUUGCUCGGGGGAUGA